UACGGAGGGUGCAAGCGUUAUCCGGAUUCACUGGGUUUAAAGGGUGCGUAGGUGGGCUUGUAAGUCAGUGGUGAAAUCUCCGUGCUUAACAUGGAAACUGCCAUUGAUACUAUAGGUCUUGAAUUAUCUGGAGGUUAGCGGAAUAUGUCAUGUAGCGGUGAAAUGCUUAGAUAUGACAUAGAACACCAACGGCGAAAGCACUCUGCUGGGCCGACACUGACACUGAGAGACGAAAGCUAGGGGAGCGAAUGGG
rnacentral:rRNA from 1 species